UAAGAACUGUUUGACCUUUACAAUAGUAACAACACAUGUUAAAUUCAUUUCAAACACCCCUGCUUUAAGAAAAAAACCCGACACCCUCGUAUACUCUCUCCCCAGUGGACUUCGCGAGUGUUUGCACAUAUAUAAGGCUAAACACACUGUCAUAGCCGCAACAAAAUAAGCCCCAGCAGCGAAACAGCUUCACAACACUCACGAGACAUACUCCAAUGUGGCAGGGUAAAGGAAAAACUACCAUGGAGACAUUCUUCAAGCUAGAUGACAGUGGCCAGCAGAAUAUUUUUGUAAAUUUCUAGCAGUAGUUUCCAUUUAAGCAAUGGGGAACAGAAAACACAAAAUGUUCAAAGAGCUUCAAUUAUUAUCAUGUAUGCUUCCAGCAACAUGAAGCAAUGAUGAUAAGCUCUAAUACCGUUUAACUGUGGUAGAAAAUAAGAUAAUAACAGGGACAAAAAAUAAUAUUUUUAGAAAAGACAAAGCAAAAUUUGAUUAUGAACCCUCCUAUAUUAUUUGGUUUAGUACCAGACAUCUGUAUAUAUAUUAAAGACGGUAGUUAUAUAAGUUGUUUAUGUGGUUUUA